AGAGUUUGAUUCUGGCUCAGGACGAACGCUGGCGGCGCGCCUAACACAUGCAAGUCGAACGGAGACAAUUAGGAGCUUGCUUUUGAUUGUCUUAGUGGCGGACGGGUGAGUAACACGUGAGCAACCUGCCUUUCAGAGGGGGAUAACGUUUGGAAACGAACGCUAAUACCGCAUGACAUAUCGGUACCGCAUGGCACUGAUAUCAAAGGAGCAAUCCGCUGAAAGAUGGGCUCGCGUCCGAUUAGCUAGAUGGCGGGGUAACGGCCCACCAUGGCGACGAUCGGUAGCCGGACUGAGAGGUUGAUCGGCCACAUUGGGACUGAGACACGGCCCAG
rnacentral:rRNA from 1 species